ensembl:snRNA U6 U6 spliceosomal RNA
GUGCUUGCUUUGGCAGCACAUAUACUAAAAUUGAAACUAUACAGAGAAGAUUAGCAUGGCCCUUGCACAAGGAUGACAUGCAAAUGUGUGAAGCAAAUUCAAUAGAU